UACGAAGGGGGCUAGCGUUGUUCGGAAUUACUGGGCGUAAAGCGCACGUAGGCGGAUCGAUCAGUCAGGGGUGAAAUCCCAGAGCUCAACUCUGGAACUGCCUUUGAUACUGGCGAUCUUGAGUCCGGGAGAGGUGAGUGGAACUGCGAGUGUAGAGGUGAAAUUCGUAGAUAUUCGGAAGAACACCAGUGGCGAAGGCGGCUCACUGGACUGGUAUUGACGCUGAGGUGCGAAAGCGUGGGGAGCAAACAGG
rnacentral:rRNA from 1 species